GACGAACGCUGGCGGCGUGCUUAACACAUGCAAGUCGAACGGAAAGGCCCUGCUUUUGUGUGGUGCUCGAGUGGCGAACGGGUGAGUAACACGUGAGUAACCUGCCCUUGACUUUGGGAUAACUUCAGGAAACUGGGGCUAAUACCGGAUAGGAGCUCCUGCUUCAUGGUGGUGGUUGGAAAGUUUCGGCGGUUGGGGAUGGACUCGCGGCUUAUCAGCUUGUUGGUGGGGUAGUGGCUUACCAAGGCUUUGACGGGUAGCCGGCCUGAGAGGGUGACCGGCAACAUUGGGAAUGAGAUACGGCCCAGAAUCCUAAGGGAGGCAGCAGUGGGGAAUAUUGCACAAUGGGCGGAAGCCUGAUGCAGCAACGCCGCGUGCGGGAUGACGGCCUUCGGGUUGUAAACCGCUUUCGCCUGUGACGAAGCGUGAGUGACGGUAAUGGGUAAAGAAGCACCGGCUAACUACGUG
rnacentral:rRNA from 1 species